ACGCAAACCAACAAGUUCAGGAUCAAAUACAAAAGCAAUGAUAGAAAAUUAAAUACAAAACGGGAAAAAAAAAAUCUUCACCUCUGGAGUUUUAUCUCCCUCUCUUCAAAUCUCUUAGAUCUAGGUAGAUAAUGAUAGAGAAAUACAAAGGACCAUGAUUGGGAUCGGUAACGUUAAAUAGACAGGCGCAGGACCUGAAAUCGGUUUAGGGAAAAAAAAAAUUGUUUGAUGGGUGAGGGAACUGAGAGGAAGCCGAGAGAAGAGAAUAAGAUAUGUAUUAGUGAAUAAAAAGACAUGUAUA
rnacentral:misc_RNA from 1 species